rnacentral:lncRNA from 1 species
GUCUCAUAUAAAAAUACAAUAUUGAGCUUGAAUCAAUGAUUAACUUAAAAGAUUGUGUAAAUAUAUUUUCAAAAUUGAUGCCUUUUCUUCAGUAGAAGGUAUUGUGAAUGCAGGUGUUUCAAUUAAGAAAUAAUUCAUGGGGGCUUGAAUAUAUCGCGAUUUUACCAUGGGUUGUCCCUUUAUGACAAAUAGUUUACCCGGAGCGAUAGCGACAACCUGUGGUAAAAUCACGAUAUAUUCAAGCCCCAUGAAUUAUUUCGAUUCUAAUAGGACCAAAUACGGCAAAUGUUUUGGAUCCACGCGCUCUAGGUAAAGGCAAAUAUUUGCCGUUCACAUAAAUAAACGUACUACUACAUUGAAGUAAUAAAACCGC